rnacentral:rRNA from 1 species
AUUGAACGCUGGCGGCAUGCUUUACACAUGCAAGUCGAACGGUAACAGGCCGCAAGGUGCUGACGAGUGGCGAACGGGUGAGUAAUGCAUCGGAACGUGCCCAAUCGUGGGGGAUAACGUAGUGAAAAUUACGCUAAUACCGCAUACGAUCUACGGAUGAAAGCGGGAGAUCGCAAGACCUCGCGCGAUUGGAGCGGCCGAUAUCAGAUUAGGUAGUUGGUGAGGUAAAGGCUCACCAAGCCGACGAUCUGUAGCUGGUCUGAGAGGACGACCAGCCACACUGGGACUGAGACACGGCCCAGACUCCUACGGGAGGCAGCAGUGGGGAAUUUUGGACAAUGGACGCAAGUCUGAUCCAGCCAUUCCGCGUGCAGGACGAAGGCCUUCGGGUUGUAAACUGCUUUUGUACAGAACGAAAAGGUCUCUAUUAAUACUGGGGGCUCAUGACGGUACUGUAAGAAUAAGCACCGGCUAACUACGUGCCAGCCGCCGCGGUAAUAC